AUGUCUACACUACCCGCUGGAUCUGCGGGCAGUGAUCGAUCUAUCGGGGAUCGAUUUAUUGUGUCUAGUGUAGAUGCGAUAAAUCGAUCCCCGAUCGCUCUGCCGUCGACUCCGGAACUCCACCACGGAGAGAGGAGGAAGCGGAGUCGACGAGGGAGUGGCGGUCAUUGAUCCCACGCAGCGAGGAUGCAAAAUUUCUCUCAAUCUUCCUCCAAGCAACUGGGUCAGGCUGCCCCUUGCCCUGGUAUGCUGUCUAUUGUCAAGAGGUGCAAUGAUCUACCACCUUCUUUGCUUUGCAGUACUAAUGGCAGGACAAGUUCUAUUUCCAAAGCAGUGCACGUGCAUGACACGCCUGAUGCAAGUUUACACACAAAAAAGCAUCCCAAAAAGAGGCACAUCAACUGCUGAAUUCAAAACAAGAAGUCGGGGCAG